UACGUAGGGUGCGAGCGUUAAUCGGAAUUACUGGGCGUAAAGGGUGCGCAGGCGGUUAUAUAAGACAGAUGUGAAAUCCCCGGGCUCGACCUGGGAACUGCGUUUGUGACUGUAUGACUAGAGUACGGUAGAGAGGGGUGGAAUUCCUGGUGUAGCAGUGAAAUGCGUAGAUAUCAGGAGGAACAUCGAUGGCGAAGGCAGCCCCUUGGACCUGUACUGACGCUCAUGCACGAAAGCGUGGGGAGCAAACAGG
rnacentral:rRNA from 1 species